GAUGAACGCUAGCUACAGGCUUAACACAUGCAAGUCGAGGGGCAGCAUGACGAUAGCUUGCUAUUGUCGAUGGCGACCGGCGCACGGGUGAGUAACGCGUAUCCAACCUUCCCAUGUCCACGGGAUAGCCCGUCGAAAGGCGGAUUAAUACCGUAUGAGGUCACAUGCGGGCAUCUAAGUGUGACGAAAGGUUUUGCGGACAUGGAUGGGGAUGCGUCCGAUUAGCUGGUUGGCGGGGUAACGGCCCACCAAGGCGACGAUCGGUAGGGGUUCUGAGAGGAAGGUCCCCCACAUUGGAACUGAGACACGGUCCAAACUCCUACGGGAGGCAGCAGUGAGGAAUAUUGGUCAAUGGGCGAGAGCCUGAACCAGCCAAGUAGCGUGCAGGAUGACGGCCCUAUGGGUUGUAAACUGCUUUUAUAAGGGAAUAAAGUGGGUCACGUGUGACUUUUUGCAUGUACCUUAUGAAUAAGGACCGGCUAAUUCCGUG
rnacentral:rRNA from 1 species